rnacentral:rRNA from 1 species
UACGUAGGUGGCAAGCGUUGUCCGGAUUUACUGGGCGUAAAGGGCGCGUAGGCGGCCCGCUAAGUCGAACGUGAAAUCCCCAGGCUCAACCUGGGAACUGCGUCCGAUACUGGCAGGCUUGAAUCCGGGAGAGGGAUGUGGAAUUCCAGGUGUAGCGGUGAAAUGCGUAGAUAUCUGGAGGAACACCGGUGGCGAAGGCGGCAUCCUGGACCGGUAGUUGACGCUGAGGCGCGAAAGCUAGGGGAGCAAACGGG